rnacentral:rRNA from 1 species
UAGGGAAUAUUGGGCAAUGGAGGAAACUCUGACCCAGCAACGCCGCGUGAAAGAUGAAGGUUUUCGGAUUGUAAAUUUCUGUAACGGAGGACGAACAAAUGACGGUACUCCGGAAGUAAGCCCCGGCUAACUAUGUGCCAGCAGCCGCGGUAAUACAUAGGGGGCAAGCGUUGUCCGGAAUGACUGGGUGUAAAGGGUGCGUAGGUGGUUAGAUAAGUUAGAAGUGAAAUCCCAAAGCUCAACUUUGGAGUUGCUUCUAAGACUGUCUGACUUGAGUGCAGGAGAGGAUAGUGGAAUUCCUAGUGUAGCGGUGGAAUGCGUAGAUAUUAGGAGGAACACCAGAGGCGAAGGCGGCUAUCUGGACUGCAACUGACACUGAGGCACGAAAGCGUGGGGAGCAAACA